AUGAGGCGCCAUGAUCACCGUCAAGCAAGUGCGUCCAGCCGAGACACUCUCCGGCUCGCUCUUCUUCUCUUCCUGCUCCUGUCGUCCUCGCAGCUGCGCGGCGCGAGCUCUGCGCCCGGCGAGGCAGAGGCGCUCCUGGAAUGGAAGGACAGCCUGCCGCUGACCGCGGCCGCCGCGGGCGCUCUGGCCUCGUGGGACCGGGCGGCCGCCGCCAACUCCAGCUUCGCGGUGUGCUCGUGGCACGGCAUGACGUGCGACGUCUUCGGCAGGGUCGUCGGCGUCGACGUGUCUGGCGCCGGCAUCGACGGCAGCCUCCACGCUCUGGACCUCUCGUCCCUGCCCAGCCUCGGCAGCCUCAACCUCAGCUACAACGCGCUGGUCGGGCCGUUCCCGUCGAACGUGUCCGCGCUGCUGCUUAACAUCACGUCGGUUGAUUUGUCCAACAAUAAUUUUUCCGGGCCAAUCCCGCCGGCCUUGCCUGCGUACAUGCCCAACCUCGAGCACCUCAACCUUUCUUCCAAUCAGUUCGCCGGCGAAAUACCGCCGUCGGUCGCCAACUUGACCAGGCUUCAGAGCCUCGUUCUUGGCAAGAACAGUUUUUCCGGCGGCAUACCGCCGGCGCUCGGUUCCAUCUCGAGGUUGCGAGUGCUCGAGCUGCACAGCAACCCGCUGGGCGGCGCGAUCCCCGCCUCUCUCGGCCAGCUCCGCUCGCUCGAGCGCAUCAAUGUCAGCAUCGCUCAGCUGGAGUCCACCCUUCCGACGGAACUCAGCCACUGCACCAACCUCACCGUCAUUGGCCUCGCGGUCAACAAGCUCUCCGGAAAGCUGCCGGUGUCGUGGGCCAAGCUGAGGAGAGUACGAGAAUUCAACGUCUCCAAGAACAUGCUCACUGGGGAUAUCUUGCCGGACUACUUCUCGGCGUGGACACGUCUCACGGUGUUUCAGGCGGACAAGAACCAUUUCAUCGGCGAGAUCCCCGCUGAGGCGUCGAGGCUGCAGUUCCUCUCCUUCGCGACCAACAACCUCUCCGGCGAGAUCCCGGCGAUCAUCGGAAGUCUGACGAAUCUGAGGCUGCUGGACCUCGCCGAGAACAAAUUCUCUGGUACCAUACCACGGACCAUCGGCAACCUCACAAGAUUAGAGACUCUUCGGCUGUACAACAACAAGCUCACCGGCCGGUUGCCUGACGAGUUGGGGAACAUGAGGGCGCUGCAGAAGAUAUCCGUGAGCACCAACAUGCUCGAUGGGGAGCUGCCGGCCGGGCUUGUCCGGUUGCCGAACCUCAUCUACAUCGUCGCCUUCGACAACUUCUUCUCCGGUACAAUCCCGCCGAUUUCCAGCCGCCAGCUGACCGUGGUAAGCAUGGCCAACAACAACUUCUCCGGCGAGCUGCCACCAGGGAUGUCACGUAACCGGCUUACCGGCGACGUGUCAGAAGUCUUAGGAUUGCAUCCUAACCUUUACUACAUCGAUCUCUCUGGGAAUUCCUUCGGCGGCGAGCUCCCGGAGCACUGGGCUCAGUUCAAGAGCCUCUUGUAUCUGAACCUGGAGCUCAACAAGAUCACCGGGACAAUUCCUCCCGGUUUCGGUGGCAUGCCUGCACUGAAUGAUUUGAGCCUCGCAUCGAAUCAUCUCGCCGGCGUAAUCCCUCCUGAGCUCGGCAAAUUACAAUUGCUCAAACUGAACCUGAGUCACAACAUGUUGUCAGGACCGAUCCCUCCGACACUAGGGAACGUCACAACAAUGCUGCUGCUGGAGAAAAUGGACCUGUCUGGGAAUGAGCUCGAGGGCGGCGUGCCCGUGGAGCUCACGAAAUUGGACCGCAUGUGGUACCUGAACCUGAUCAGCAACAACCUCACCGGAGCGGUGCCGGCUCUGCUGGGCAAGAUGAGCUCGCUGAGCGACCUGGAUCUCAGUGGCAACCCGGGCCUGUGCGGCGACGUAGCCGGUCUGAAAUCUUGCAGCUUGUAUUCCACCGGUGCCGGAGUUGGCUCACGGCGACACAUCACCAAGCUGAUACUUGAUGUCACCGUGUCUGUUGUCGGCGCGCUGCUCUUCUUUGUCGCUACAGUGGCUCUCGUGCUCGUCCGCAAGAAGACGCGAACCGACGAAAACAUGGAGGAGACAACAGCGAGCGGCAGCGGCACGACGGAUCUGCAGGCGUCCAUAUGGAGCAAGGACGCGGAGUUCUUGUUCGGCGAGAUCCUGGCGGCGACGGAGCACUUCAACGAGGCCUACUGCAUCGGCAAGGGCAGCUUCGGGAGCGUGUACCACGCCAAAGUGCCCGGCGGCCACUCCCUCGCCGUGAAAAAGCUCGACGUGUCGGAAACAGGGGACGCGUGCUGGGGCAUCAGCGAGAAGAGCUUCGAGAACGAGGUGAGGGCCCUGACGCACGUCCGCCACCGGAACAUCGUCAAGCUCCACGGGUUCUGCGCCACCGGCGGGUACAUGUACCUCGUCUACGAGCGCGUCGAGAGGGGCAGCCUAGGGAAGGUGCUGUACAUGGGCGGCGAGCGCAGCAGCGAGAGGUUCGACUGGCCGGCCAGGAUGCGCGCGAUCAGGGGCCUGGCGAGCGCGCUGGCCUACCUGCACCACGACUGCUCGCCGCCGAUGAUCCACCGCGACGUCUCCGUCAACAACGUCCUUCUGGACGCCGAGUACGAGACGCGGCUGUCAGAAUUCGGCACGGCCAGGUUCCUCGCGCCCGGCCGCUCCAACUGCACCAGCGUGGCCGGCUCCUAUGGAUACAUGGCGCCAGAGCUCGCCUACUUGAGGGUGACGACCAAGUGCGACGUGUACAACUUCGGCGUGGUGGCCAUGGAGAUCCUGACCGGCAAGUUCCCGGGCGGGCUCAUCAGCUCACUGUACAGCCUCGACGAGGCGCAGGCCGGUGUCGGCAAGUCGGCCGCGCUCCUGCUGCUUAGGGACCUGGUGGACCAGAGGCUGGACGGUCCCGCCGAGCAGAUGGCAGCGCAGGUGGUGUUCGUCUUCGUCGUGGCACUAUCCUGUGUCCGCACCAACCCCGACGCUCGCCCGGAUAUGCGCACCAUGGCUCAGGAGCUCUCCGCUCGCCGGAGGUCCACCUUGGACAAGCCGUUCAUGGCGAUCAUGAUCGGCGACCUUGUUAGUUUGCGAGUAUGA
rnacentral:rRNA from 1 species